rnacentral:rRNA from 1 species
CAAUAGCGUAUAUUAAAGUUGUUGCGGUUAAAAAGCUCGUAGUUGGAUUUCUGCUGAGAACGACCGGUCCGCCCUUUGGGUGUGUAUCUGGCUCUUUCUUGGCAUCUUCUUGGUGAACGUUGCUGCACUUGACUGUGUGGAGCGCUACCCAGGACUUUUACUUUGAGGAAAUUAGAGUGUUUCAAGCAGGCAUACGCCUUGAAUACAUUAGCAUGGAAUAAUAAGAUAGGACCUCGGUUCUAUUUUGUUGGUUUCUAGAGCUGAGGUAAUGAUUAAUAGGGAUAGUUGGGGGCAUUCGUAUUUAACUGUCAGAGGUGAAAUUCUUGGAUUUGUUGAAGACGGACUACUGCGAANGNAUUUGCNAAGGAUGUUUNCAUUG